UCGAGUGCGCGUGCCGUAGCAAUACGGCAUGGCGCACGGCGCACGGGUGCGAUAACACGUGGGCAAUCUGCCCUUCGAUGGGGAAUAACUCCGGGAAACCGGAGCUAAUUCCGCAUAACAUUCCUUGGACUUCGGUUCGAGGACUCAAAGCCGUAAGGCGUCGAAGGAGGAGCCCGUGCCCGAUUAGCUAGUUGGUAGGGUAACGGCCUACCAAGGCUUUGAUCGGUAGCUGGUCUGAGAGGAUGGCCAGCCACACUGGAACUGAGACACGGUCCAGACUCCUACGGGAGGCAGCAGUGGGGAAUCUUGCGCAAUGGGCGAAAGCCUGACGCAGCGACGCCGCGUGGGGGAUGAAGCAUCUCGGUGUGUAAACCCCUUUCGACUGGGACGAAUGCCUCGCAAGAGGAGUGACGGUACCAGUAGAAGAAACCCCGGCUAACUACGUGCCAGCAGCCGCGGUAAGACGUAGGGGGCCAGCGUUGUUCGGAAUUACUGGGUGUAAAGGGUUCGUAGGCGGUGCGGCAAGUCGGGAGUGAAAUCUAUGGGCUUAACCCAUAGGCUGCUUCCGAAACUGCUGUGCUUGAGUGUGGGAGAGGCGCGUGGAAUUGCAGGUGUAGCGGUGAAAUGCGUAGAUAUCUGCAGGAACACCCGUGGCGAAAGCGGCGCGCUGGACCUCACUGACGCUGAGGAACGAAAGCUAGGGAGCAAACGCGAUUACAUCCCCCUGAAAAUCUUAGCCCUAAACGAUCAGGACUUGGGGUGCCACCCUUUUCGGGGUGUCGUCCCGGAAGCUAACCCGUUAAGGUCCUUGCACCUGGGG
rnacentral:rRNA from 1 species